rnacentral:lncRNA from 1 species
AAAUAAUACACUGUAUAUAUAUCCAACUGUCAGUUCUGUUCCCAGCAACAAGGCGAACGGAUGUUCAGAGGAACCUCUCCCAUACAGCCCAACUAAAAAUACUGAAUAAAGACAUUCAAACCUUUUACAUGUGUGACUGAGCUGGCAGGAAACGAGAUUCUUCCACUACCAGAGCCUCGGUAAACACCAACCUCCAGGAGAGAACGAGCAGGGAGCUACUUUCCCUGGGGACGCAUGCACAUCCCUAGUGGCCCAGAGCCUGAGUCUAAAGGCUCCCUCUUUGGGAUAAAGACAAAUGGUGACGCCUGCCUGGGGGCUGCAACCCCUCCUGCAUGAAGCUGGGACCCUGAACUACGCCCUCUGGGUGGGUCAGAGAAAAUCCACUCUCUGAGGCGGAGCGGACUCUACCUACCAGCCUCAGCUGGUGGAGAACUGUGGCGCUGGUGGCAGGGAACAAAAUGAACAGUUCCCUCUGAGAAGUCCUGACCACAAGCCGGUCCUCUUGUGGGCUUAGAACGAGGAGGAUUCACACUACAAACGUAAACAUUUCAUUUAAAGUGGUCUGGAUAAGGAGCCUGUUGUAUGCUUGGCAGAAGAAAAUUGUCUCAGCAGGAACGCUGAGCCUCAGUUAAAAAUAACUCCCUUGGGACGCCAUAGCAACAUUGUGAGUCGCUGGGAACUCGCCUAAUCAGACCUCUGCAAACAGGCAGGUCUGCGGACGCCAUAGCAACGGCCUGAGUCGCGCAGAACGCGCCGAAUCAGAACGCGCCGAAUCAGCCCACGCCCCAGCAGCAAUCCACGGGACCCCCCCCCCCCACACACACCCUCCACUGUACAGCCAUCUGGUUCCACACUACAAAGACGCAGAGGACACCGGACCACCAGACCACUGUACUGGAUCUCUCCAGAACCCAUCUGUUUCUUUCCAUCUUCACUACCCAAGGCCUAGCUACUUCUACAAGAUGACAGCAGCCCCCAGCAGCCUGUCCUGCCUCGUUCUCACUGUCCAUGUUGGGCCAGGCAGAUAUUCUCCGCAUCAGUGGCUCCUCGGUGCCACUAGGACAAACCCAAAGUCGUCCGGUGUACAACAGUCUUCAGCAUCUGGCCUCUGUUUACCGCCACAUCUAAGCCUGCGUCAUCCCCUCUCAACUUCUAGGUCUUAAAUGUGCUCUAACUGCACCCUGAAUGCUUGUGGGUAUCUUCCCUUUCCUUCUGCACAGCAUCUGCCCCCCACCAUGGUGGGGCUUGAGCCCAGGGGCACUCUGCACUGAAUUCUAUUUUCAUUUUGAGAUAGGGUCUUGCUAAUUGCCCAGGCCAGGCUUGAACUUGUGAUGUUCCUGCCUCAGCCUGCUGAGGAGCUGGAAUUACAAUCAUGUACCACUGCUUCCAGGUUAAUGUUCCUUUUAUCUCAGGCCUCAAUGCUCACUCCAAGUGGGACACCCUGUCCUUAAAGCACCCAGGAUAUGGCAGGGAAUCCAACACUAAACAUCUGAGCAGGUAGACAAUGCAGGCCCCACACCCCCUGGGAGCCUAGGGUGCAGAGAUACAGUACCUUCCCCCAUGGGUCCUUGUUUGUCUUCUCUUUAAAAGGAUUUUGCCCCCUUUUUAAUUAGGGGACAUACAAAGUGAGGGACAAGAUAAUCUUUGUUUUGGGGGGUUGUUGUUUUUCUUUUUGGAGACAGGGCCUUGCUAUAUAGUCCAGGCUGGACUUGAACUCACUGCAUAGCCCAGGGAGUCUUUGAACUCAAAGCAAUUUUCCUGCCUCAGCCUCCCAAGUGCUGGUACUACUGGAAUGCACCAUCAGGCCAAGCACAAGAUAGUUUGUAAGUAGAAAUAUACAAACACAUAGUCUUUGUGAUGUACCGUAUUAGAUCUAUGAGAAGUCCCUUUAAUUCUAGCCCUUUUCUUAGCAAGGUCUUUAAAGAUCAGGAACAGUACAGAGAGAGAGGAAAUCUAGGGGAAAAGUGGUUAAAUUUAAAUGACAAGAAUAUUUACCAUUAGCCACAGCUCCCCAGCGGUGGGAUGAACUGGCCCAGAGGUCUGGAAGGAUCUCUGAGGUAGAAAAUAGUAGUCCCAACCUUUUUCAUUAUUUAAAAAAAAUUGUGGCUCUCUAAAUAUCUAUCAUUGAAUACAUGGAUGACAAAAAGGUGGUGUGAGGCAACACUUUUAAAUACUUUAAAAUUUUACUGAAUUCCAGUGCUAUCUCUCUCCAUUUGGUACAGAAAAUAUGUUUAUUCCUUCCAAAGACAAUAUUUGAUGCAUCUGUGGACUUAAGGGUCUUUUGCAGAAGAUUCUGGCCCACAGAUCAGGAGAUGUCGCUGUGUGAUAAAUCGUCCAUGAAGUAAGCAGAGGUUGGUUUACUUUGUAAGUAAACCAGUUUGAUGAACUUCCCAGUACCAAACCCAGCACUCCAAAGGUAGGGAUUAUUAAAGUACUCUCUCCCUCUGACCCGGUCUUUAUCUGAAAAUGAAGUUCAAGCCCAACAGUAGAGGUUCCAGCUCUCAUGGGGUGGGGCAUUUUGCUAGUCCGAAGUGUAACAGCUGUUCCCAAGUCUUUCCUCAGGUGGGAAUGGCCUGGAAAACGGCUUUGGUAAUUAACGGUGAGGACUCGGUGCUGACAGCCUUUGUCUCUGAAUGCAUGUGUGAUGAGAAACGGCUGUUUGGAAUCAUUUGAUUGUGAAUGGAACGUCCCAGUCUUGCCUGUGAUGACAAAGCCCCAGGGGUCAUUUCACCGACACACAGGUCCUGCCAGUGAAUCAGUUUAAACUCAGAAAGGAUAAAAGUAAAGAUCUUUAUUUGUGGUCUUAGGAACUGCUACGCAGGAGACCCAAGUACAGUUUGUUUGAAACAGUGUUCUGAAGAAGGCAGGGAAGAUGGGCAAGCUGUUGUUACAAGUCAGUAAAAAUUCUUCGGUGGGGAAACUUCUCUUAGAGUUGAGACUAGAGGCUGUGCAACAGGGGGCACGUGACUGAUAGAAGACCAAAAAAUGCACAUACUUCAUAAAAAUGUCCAUAAUACAAGAAUCCAUAACCCUUUGAGAUUCGUCUUGAGUCUCUGAGCACACUGUGAUUUGUUCCAGAUACUGGCAAUCAAAGGGGGAGGUGGCUGAAGUCCACCUUCUCCAGCAGCAGCUUGUGUCAUGCAGAAGUCCUGCUUCCUUGGGCCAGGGAUUUAGCUCAGUGGUUCCACCCACCUGCCUCGCAAGCUGAGGACCUGGGUUCGAUCCCUGGUACCAAAAAAAAAAAAAAAAAAAAAGAAGUCCUGCUUCCCUAAUGGCCUCCAUUUAGAAAACCUCUCUCAAUCUUGCUUUUGUUGUAACUUUCCUUUUAUUUUCACAGGCAUCAUUCCUCUCUCAGGUCUAACACUCUACAUUCCUCUUAACCAUUAGAUUCCUGCAGAAUAAGGUCCCUGACUCCACUUCCCAACCCUCCUGGUAAUCAGGAGGUGAUGUUCCUAAUGGAACAUAAAACAAUGUUUCUAACAGGACUCAAGCCUUCCAAGACCAUGAACUGCUCGUGAGUGACCAAUGACAUCACCAGUUCCAGGAACAUUCUCCUAUCUCUUGACCAAAGAUUACCGAAGAGACCCAAUUGCUAAACUGCUUCUGCUUCAGCACCCACUUCAAGAUGACCCCCUUCCUCUGGUCUCUCAGACUCUCAAAGAAGCACACACCCUAAGCAAAUCCCCUUCUGCCUCUACUGAGAUGCACCUCUGUCCUCCUGGGGUGCCACCUGUCUUGUAACUGGCCACAGCUACACUCCUGGUGAUCCUUUUCUAGUGGGUUUUAUCAGAAUGACUGAAGUGUUUCUUCACCUAUGAGGCCAAUUUGUAGACAGAUGAUAUACAGUCAUGUCAUGCAACACAUAAUGAUGCCUUUGUCAGUGACAGAUCACAUAUACAAUGGUGGUAUAGUAAGGUCACACCAAUAUUGCCUAGAAAUAUUAGUGUCUUAAUUUGUUUGACAUUUCCAACAACAAAACUACCUAACAAUACAUUUUUCAGAACAAAUUCCCAUCAAGUGCGUCAUGACUGUACUGCUUUCCAUAUGCUCACUACCUACAAGUAGUGACCUUUUUUUUUUUUUUUUUUGGUACCGGGGAUUGAACCCAGGUCCUCAGCUUUCGAGGCAGGCGGAACCACUGAGCUAAAUCCCCGGUGGCCCUGUAGUGACCAUUCCUGAUGGGAUACUCAGAGACAGGAGGGAACUUGCAAAGGGUGGCAAAAACUAGGAGAAACACCAAAUUCAUGCCCAGAAGGAAAUGGAAUUGAAGAGGAUGGGAUUGGAACUGAAGAACAUAGGAGACUUAACUUUAUAAUACUUUUUUAAUUUUCAAAAAUAACUUGAAACACUUGUAAAUAUUUGGGGUGGCAAAUAUAGGCACUUAUAUUAGUUUCUGUAUUUUAUAAAAUUUUUCCCCAAAAUGAGUGCUUGUAGGUUUUUUGUUUUUGUCUUUGUGGUACUGGGGUUUGAACCCAGGGCUUUCACACUGAGCUACAUGUUAUAGCUGUCCCAGCGAAAAAGACGACGCCACAAAAAUGUCCAAAUUAAAGGAGUCCUUUUAAUUAGCCAGCGACCAAGGAUGAGCUCUUGCUCCCAUCUUCCUUGUUACCAAUCAAGCAGGGAAACCCAGUUUUGUUUUGUUUUUUUGGUACUGGGGAUCAAACUCGGGACCUUGCGCUUGCAAGGCAGUCGCCGGAACCACUGAGCUAAAUCCCUGGCCCUAGGGAAACCCAGUUUUUAAAGGGAAAAAACCC